rnacentral:lncRNA from 1 species
AUGAAUGAAGCAAGUAACACUGUCCACAGGAAGGUGCCAGACAACACUUGUUCAUCCCAGCUCUUGGAAAUGCUCACUGGUCAGGUGCUUGGCCUCCAUGCGGGCGCCUCUUCUCCUGUGUGGGGCCUGGGCACAGGAAAAGCGAGUGCCAACCACCACAACAUAGUAAUUCUGCCCCGUGGAGAGUUUUAGCACUUGUUCUUGUUUUAAGGACUGCCUGUAUGACUUUUACUAUAUUAAACAUAGAACUCC